rnacentral:tRNA from 1 species
GGAGAGGUGGCAGAGCGGUUGAAUGCGGCGGUCUUGAAAACCGUUAUUCCUGGGAACAGGAAUCGGGGGUUCGAAUCCCUCCCUCUCCACCA